rnacentral:rRNA from 1 species
CACAAAGAUUUAUCGCCGAAGGAUCGGCCCGCGUCCGAUUAGCUAGUUGGUGAGGUAAUGGCUCACCAAGGCGACGAUCGGUAGCUGGUCUGAGAGGAUGAUCAGCCACAUUGGGACUGAGACACGGCCCAAACUCCUACGGGAGGCAGCAGUGGGGAAUAUUGGACAAUGGGCGCAAGCCUGAUCCAGCCAUGCCGCGUGAGUGAUGAAGGCCUUAGGGUUGUAAAGCUCUUUCGCCAGGGACGAUAAUGACGGUACCUGGAUAAGAAGCCCCGGCUAACUUCGUGCCAGCA